rnacentral:rRNA from 1 species
CCUGUUUAUCAAAAACAUCGCCUCUUGACAAACAUAUAAGAGGUCCAGCCUGCCCAGUGACUUUGUUCAACGGCCGCGGUAUCCUAACCGUGCGAAGGUAGCGUAAUCACUUGUUCUUUAAAUAAGGACUGGUAUGAAUGGCAUUACGAGGGUUAUACUGUCUCCUUUCCCUAAUCAGUGAAACUAAUCUUCCCGUGAAGAAGCGGGAAUAAAUAUAUAAGACGAGAAGACCCUAUGGAGCUUUAAACUUCCAACAAUUAUCUUUUUUAUACCAACCUAUAGGCUGUUAAAUCAACUUUAAUAAUAUGUCUGUUAGUUUUCGGUUGGGGUGACCGCGGAGUAAAACUUACCCUCCGCAGUGAAUUAAGUUUUUAAGCAAAAAACUACAAUUUUAUGCAUCAAAAAAUUGACACUAUUGACCCAACAUUUUGAUCAACGAACCAAGUUACCCUAGGGAUAACAGCGCAAUCCAUCUCAAGAGCUCAUAUCGACAGAUGGGUUUACGACCUCGAUGUUGGAUCAGGAUACCCCAGUGGUGCAGCCGCUACUAAAGGUUCGUUUGUUCAACGAUUAAAAUCCUACGUGAUC